UGGUGCCACUCCUCGCGGGUGCUUGGGACCAGGGCAGCCGUGGCCCCCGCCCACCCGCCCUUCCCUGCUCACAGUGGGAGCCGGCUUGUCAGACGCCACAGCCCUCCGCACGGGCCCACUCAGCCCCCAGCUCUGGGACCAGUAGCCGCCCUGGAUCCAUCCGGAGGAAGCUGCAGCCCUCGGGUGAGCCUGGAGUGGCAGUGUGGGUGGGGAGUCUCCCCAGGGUAAUAGUCACCAGGCUGCCCUUACCUGGAUGGGCUUUCUCUUUUCUUUCCUUUUUAAAAAGUUCUUACACCUUCUCCAGAACCUGUUUCACAACCUCCCCUGCCCCUGGGCAGUAGUCAGGGCAGACAGUGCUGUGUCCGUUCUGCAGGUGGGAAAUGGAAGGUCUGUGGGAAGGGGGCAGUGUAAGGAGACCCCAGCCUCUGAGCUGGGGGUGCUGACUCUACCCUGGGACCCUGCUCUCUGAGUGU
rnacentral:sRNA from 1 species